rnacentral:snoRNA from 1 species
AACUGUGAUGAAAGAUUUGGUCUGUAUGUAAUAUAUUUUAUUACUAAAUGAGGACAACAGUCCCUCUAAACUGAUGUUGC